rnacentral:tRNA from 1 species
AUUUUUAUAGUGUAUAUAACACAUAACAUUUUCACUGUUAAUAAGAUAAGUCUAAAAAUA